UACGGAGGGUGCAAGCGUUAUCCGGAUUCACUGGGUUUAAAGGGUGCGUAGGCGGCUUGAUAAGUCAUUGGUGAAAGCUCGCAGCUUAACUGCGAAACUGCCAUUGAAACUGUCAAGCUUGAAUGUGGUUGAAGUGGGCGGAAUACAACAUGUAGCGGUGAAAUGCGCAGAUAUCGGGAAGAACACCCGUGGCGAAGGCGGCUCACUGGACCAUAACUGACGCUGAUGCGCGAAAGCUAGGGGAGCAAACAGG
rnacentral:rRNA from 1 species